GAACGGGAAACCCUUCGGGGUUUCUAGUGGCGAAAGGGUGAGUAACACGUGAGCAACCUGCCCCCAAGUCUGGAAUAAGCGGUGGAAACGCCGUCUAAUGCCGGAUGUCGAACAGCCCCCGCCUGGUGGCUUUUCGAAAGAUUUAUCGCUUGGGGAUGGGCUCGCGCCCCAUUAGCUGGUUGGCGGGGUAAUGGCCCACCAAGGCUACGACGGGUAGGUGGACUGAGAGGUCGGUCACCCACACUGGGACUGAGACACUGCCCAGACUCCUACGGGAGGCUGCAGUCGAGAAUCUUCCGCAAUGGGCGAAAGCCUGACGGAGCAAUGCCGCGUGAGGGAUGAAGGCCUUCGGGUUGUAAACCUCUGUCACCCGGGACGAAAUCAAUGACGGUACCGGGAAAGGAAGCCACGGCUAACCACGUGCCAGCAGCCGCGGUAACACGUGGGUGGCGAGCGUUAUUCGGAUUUACUGGGCGUAAAGGGUCCGCAGGGGGCCUGCCACGCCCGUCGUGAAAUCUCAGGGCUCAACCCUGAGCGUGCGACGGGUACGGGCGGGCUGGAGUGCAGGAUGGGCAGACGGAAUUCCAGGUGUAGCGGUGGAAUGCGUAGAUAUCUGGAAGAACACCGAUGGCGAAGGCGGUCUGCUGGCCUGCAACUGACCCUCAGGGACGAGAGCGUGGGGAUCAAACAGGAUUAGAUACCCUGGUAGUCCACGCCGUAAACGUUGUGUGCCAGAUGUGGGCAGGUUCGGCCUUGUCCGUGUCCAAGCUAACGCGAUUAGCCCACCGCCUGGGGACUACGGCCGCAAGGCUAAAACUCAAAGGAAUUGACGG
rnacentral:rRNA from 1 species